CCAGAUGGCCGGGCAGUCGCUGUAUCGGCGUCACAGCAGGUAUGGAGGAAAGUCCGGGCUCCACAGGAAGACGGUGCCGGCUAACGGCCGGCGGGGGCAACCCUAGGGAAAGUGCCACAGAAACAAAACCGUCCGCCGGGUUUCUCUUUAUGAGAAUCUGCGGAUAAGGGUGAAACGGUGCGGUAAGAGCGCACCGCAGCCUUGGCAACAAGACUGGUCAUGGUAAACCCCACCGGGAGCAAGACCGAAUAGGAGUGGCAAGCCUUACGGCCAUGAGUUUCCUGCUCAGUCACUCGGGUUGGUCGCGUGAGGCAAGUUGCAAAACCUGCCCUAGAGGAAUGACUGCCCCAAUUUUAUAAUCAAAAUUGGACAGAACCCGGCUUACAGGCCAUCUGGUAUA
rnacentral:RNase_P_RNA from 1 species